UACGUAGGGUGCAAGCGUUCAUCGGAAUUACUGGGCGUAAAGCGUGCGCAGGCGGUUCUAUAAGACAGAUGUGAAAUCCCCGGGCUCAACCUGGGAACUGCAUUUGUGACUGUAGAGCUGGAGUACGGUAGAGGGGGAUGGAAUUCCGCGUGUAGCAGUGAAAUGCGUAGAUAUGCGGAGGACCACCGAUGGCGAAGGCAAUCCCCUGGACCUGUACUGACGCUCAUGCACGAAAGCGUGGGGAGCAAACAGG
rnacentral:rRNA from 1 species